UCAGUUUCGAACGUGAGCUUAUACGAGACGGUUCGCUACUUGUCGGCAGAAACGAGCAAUGCGGAAAUAGAAGAAUACAAGCAUACCUAAAAAGCAGAGAGCAGUUAAAAAUUAAAAAAAAUUAUUAACAAAACAAUAAACCUUAGAAAAAUUGUUAUUAUUUAUAAUACAAUGGUAAAGAAGAUUAAAAGCAAGCUGCAGCAAGACAACAAAUACUUGCCAACUACGAUACCAUAAAAAAUAAUUAAAAAGCCGAAGCCAGUGACUAGCAAGAGGUGGUUAAGAGGAAAUAAACGAUAAGUGGUGCCGGUAAAAAAUCGAACAGAAAAAGCACCAAUAAGAGACUGAGUGAAAAUUUUGAUAGCGGCCAAGCAUACCUUUCUGCUGAACAAAUAAAGACCAUGUGCUUGCGUGUGUGUUAAUGCGGUUAUUAGUCCGGCGGGUUAUAUCGCGCUCGCGAAAAAAGUCCAAACAGCGUGGGCGCAUACAUUUUAAUUAAACGCCCAGGCGCGUCCUUUAACAGCCGUUAGUGCUUUUUGUGUCUCAGUCCACGGUUUCCGUCGUCCAAUCAGCGUCAUCUUCAGCUAUAUCCGUUGAGACAAUGAAUAACAGAACAAGGAUCCGAAACAUGACUCUGGAAGAACAACAAAAUCACAGUCUCCGUAAAUUUCAAAGAUUUCCUUGCCCUCACCACAAAGCAUACACUAAUCGCAUGGUCUUAUGCAAAUAUUACAAAAUGAACCGCAGAAAGUUGAAUGGAAAUCGGGCUAAGCUCAACAAGGAGUCUACUCCGCAAGCGUAUGUGCAUUCUUGUGAGGACAUAUACUGGAACACGUAGUGUUGCCCACGGCGUAUGAGUAACAUACUCCCACAAAUAUGCGAAAUUUUGACUGAGAUAAUAUUGAAAAUAGUGUUUGAACAUAAAAUCAUGUUUUACCAUUUGCUGCAAUCUGCCAAUGUCACUUGGUAAAGACCACAGGUCGUCCAACCGUUUUGACACGCUAGCCAAACAGGUGAGCAGUAGGAUAUACAGGCAGACGAAAAAGCAAAUCGAUUGUAGAUCAGGGUAACUCCUUAACUUAGCUAUGUCGACCCAUUACAUACCUGAUGACAUCCUCAUGACCUCAAACGCUCAGGCACUUUGGAUGCUAAUGUGGCCGAUAUAAAAGAUAGCAACUAUACCAUUAUGGCUGCAACCUGAUUUACAUCUCAUAGCACAAUAGCAAUAAAUACUAUUUGGGUUUCGAUAUCUCGCCACUGUCGCGGAUAGACAAGCUAAUAUGUGAUGCGUUAUGAUGAGAAUCUUAAUUUCGAAGUCCACAUCAGUGAAAACCUGAGAUAGAAUUGCACGGAUUGAAAUUAAUUUUAUUAAUUAUAUUUUAAAUAAAUAUCUCAAGUUUUAAUGAUAAUAAAAGCGCAA
rnacentral:lncRNA from 1 species